CUCAGAACCGUAAGCUUGUAAGUUAAUAAAUCCUCAUUGUAAAAGCCAACCCAUUUCUGGUAUACUGCAUCUGGGUAACUUUGGCAAACUAAAACACUGGUGCAGGAAAGUCAUUAGAAGAAGUUAACCAUUAACAUGUAACAAGUUAAAAAUGUGGUUUAGAAAAACCAAAACUUCUACCUGAAAACAAGAUUGCUGAGGUGAAUUUCAAAGCCAGCAUCCAGGCUGAGCUCCUACUUUAUUAUGCCUUCGUGUGACCCAAGUUGCCGGCCUUAUUCCUCCUUCGUCCCUACCUGCCCCCUCCCCAAUCUCCUGACUGCCUUGGAAUCAACCUUGCAGCUGUGGAACUGCAGACAAAAAACCUCAGGCUGCAGAUACUGAAAUAGAUGCACAGAGACACAUCAAAUGGUUAUCACCAGGUGAUGGAAUGAUGACCACUCAUUUCUUUAAAAGUUUCUGCCUCAGGAGUGGCAGCUAUCCUCCAAGAUGGCUCCUAAUGCUGCCCUUCUUCUGGUAUACAGGCUUUGUGCUGUCCCCUACCACAAUGAAUAAGGCUGACCUAUAUAAUCUGUAGGAUAUGCCUAUAUGACGAUGUGUGACUUCUGAGACCAUCUCACAAAUGACUGUACAGCUUCUGCUCUGCUCCCUGGGAUCACUGAUUCUGGGGGAAGCCAGCUUCCAUCUCGUAAGGACACUCAGCAGCCCUGUGGAGAGGCUCACGAGGUGAGGAACUUACGCUUCCUUGGCCACAGCCAUGUGGAUGAGCCAUUUUGAAGCAGAUCUUCCAGCCCUAUGCAAGCUUUCCAAUGACUGCAGUCCCAGUGGGUAUCUUGAUUGGAAGCACAUGAAAAGACCUUG